UACGAAGGGGGCUAGCGUUGCUCGGAAUUACUGGGCGUAAAGGGAGCGUAGGCGGAUAGUUUAGUCAGAGGUGAAAGCCCAGGGCUCAACCUUGGAAUUGCCUUUGAUACUGGCUAUCUUGAGUACGGAAGAGGUAUGUGGAACUCCGAGUGUAGAGGUGAAAUUCGUAGAUAUUCGGAAGAACACCAGUGGCGAAGGCGACAUACUGGUCCGUUACUGACGCUGAGGCUCGAAAGCGUGGGGAGCAAACAGGAUUAGA
rnacentral:rRNA from 1 species